rnacentral:lncRNA from 1 species
AAAAUUGGAUAUAAAAUGUGUGAGUAGGUGUAUACAUGAUUAUUGAUACGACCUUAUUUUUGAAAAUACCAUUUAACUACAUAAAUUAUAUAUAGUUUUACUUAUGUAUUUUUAAAUUAUAAACUAUUUUUAUUUGAAAUAAUUUCAAACUUAGAAGACUUAAGAAUAGUACAAAGAGCUUUUUUGCAUAAACUAUUUGAGGAUAAGUUGCUCACAUGAAUUUGCAUCAUCCCAAAUUCGCAUGUACAUACAUUCUCACAUAUGUGUAAACUCGUAUGUAUGUAGACAUGCGGUUUCACCAUGUUGGCCAGGAUGGUCUCCAUCUCCUGACCUCGUGAUCUGCCCUCCUCAGCCUCCCAAA